rnacentral:rRNA from 1 species
AUACGGAGGAUCCGAGCGUUAUCCGGAUUUAUUGGGUUUAAAGGGUGCGCAGGCGGCCAUUUAAGUCAGCGGUUAAGUCGUGGGGCUCAACCCCAUUCUGCCGUUGAUACUGGGUGGCUUGAUUGCGGUCGAGGUUGGCGGAAUUCGUUGUGUAGCGGUGAAAUGCAUAGAUAUGACGAAGAACACCGAUUGCGUAGGCAGCUGACCAGACCGCAAAUGACGCUCAUGCACGAAAGUGCGGGGAUCGAACAGGAUUAGAUACCCUGGUAGUCCGCACAGUAAACGAUGAAUACUUGUUUUCGGCGAUAUAAUGUCGGAGGCAAAGCGAAAGCGAUAAGUAUUCCACCUGGGGAGUACGCCGGCAACGGUGAAACUUAAAUGAAUUGGCGGGG